GACGAACGCUGGCGGCGUGCCUAAUACAUGCAAGUAGAACGCUGAAGGAAGGAGCUUGCUCUUUCUGGAUGAGUUGCGAACGGGUGAGUAACGCGUAGGUAACCUGCCUGGUAGCGGGGGAUAACUAUUGGAAACGAUAGCUAAUACCGCAUAAAAUUGAUUAUUGCAUGAUAGUCAAUUAAAAGGUGCAACUGCACCACUACCAGAUGGACCUGCGUUGUAUUAGCUAGUUGGUGGGGUAACGGCUCACCAAGGCGACGAUACAUAGCCGACCUGAGAGGGUGAUCGGCCACACUGGGACUGAGACACGGCCCAGACUCCUACGGGAGGCAGCAGUAGGGAAUCUUCGGCAAUGGACGGAGGUCUGACCGAGCAACGCCGCGUGAGUGAAGAAGGUUUUCGGAUCGUAAAGCUCUGUUGUAAGAGAAGAACGAGUGUGAGAGUGGAAAGUUCACACUGUGACGGUAGCUUACCAGAAAGGGACGGCUAACUACGUG
rnacentral:rRNA from 1 species